rnacentral:rRNA from 1 species
UACGGAGGGUGCGAGCGUUGUCCGGAUUUAUUGGGUUUAAAGGGUGCGUAGGCGGCCCUAUAAGUCAGUGGUGAAAUAUCGCAGCUCAACUGUGAGGGUGCCAUUGAUACUGUAGGGCUUGAGUGAAUUUGAGGUAGGCGGAAUUGACGGUGUAGCGGUGAAAUGCUUAGAUAUCCUAAGGAACACCGGUGGCGAAGGCGGCUUACUGGGUCUUAACUGACGCUGAGGCACGAAAGCCAGGGUAGCAAACAGG